CUUAUGUGAGUCCUUUGCUGCACUAAAAUCUACUUUCUUGGAAAAUGUAGAACAAAUACUCAGGCUGUGAUCUCAUUCCUACCAGUGCUGGGGAUAGGAGUCCCAGGGGCUUCACUGCAAAUUAGAUCCCCUGGAAAGAGACAGAGAGCCAGAACGGAUCCGACCUUGCUGCCGUUCCUGGGAGCGAACUCCUAUUCUUCCGUGCCCUCCCUGCCUUGCCUCUGACAACUUUUCCAGUGAAGAAGAUGUGGAAAAUAGACCAUACAUGGAAAUCUGUGAAUCCUAUGCUGGCAUCUGCAUAAAGGAUCAUUUUCUGGGCGAGCAAAGCAGCUCUGCUUGGGAAGCUCUGGAAACUCUGCCACUUGUACCACAAUCACCAGGAGAACUUUAA
rnacentral:lncRNA from 1 species